AGAGGUUUGGUUUCUUUUGUCAUGCUGCUCUUGAAUUCUUACUCCAAGGAGGAUUUCAUCCUGAUAUUAUCCAUUGCCAUGAUUGGUCUAGUGCACCAGUUGCUUGGUUAUUCAAGGAACAGUACAUGCACUAUGGCCUUACUAAAGCACGGAUUGUCUUCACAAUACACAAUUUAGAAUUUGGAGCGCAGCUAAUUGGGAGAGCAAUGUUGCACUCGGACAAGGCCACAACUGUGUCUCCUACAUA
rnacentral:misc_RNA from 1 species